rnacentral:rRNA from 1 species
AGCGAACGCUGGCGGCAGGCCUAACACAUGCAAGUCGAACGAAGUCUUCGGACUUAGUGGCGGACGGGUGAGUAACACGUGGGAACGUACCUUUUGGUUCGGAACAACUCAGGGAAACUUGAGCUAAUACCGGAUGAGCCCUUAGGGGGAAAGAUUUAUCGCCGAAAGAGCGGCCCGCGUUAGAUUAGCUAGUUGGUGAGGUAAAGGCUCACCAAGGCUACGAUCUAUAGCUGGUCUGAGAGGAUGAUCAGCCACACUGGGACUGAGACACGGCCCAGACUCCUACGGGAGGCAGCAGUGGGGAAUCUUGCGCAAUGGGCGAAGGCCUGACGCAGCCAUGCCGCGUGAAUGAUGAAGGUCUUAGGAUUGUAAAAUUCUUUUACCAGGGACGAUAAUGACGGUACCUGGAGAAAAAGCCCCGGCUUACUUCGUGCCAGCCGCCGCAGUAACAC